CCUACGGGAGGCAGCAGUGAGGAAUAUUGGUCAAUGGACGAGAGUCUGAACCAGCCAAGUAGCGUGAAGGAUGACUGCCCUAUGGGUUGUAAACUUCUUUUAUAUGGGAAUAAAAUGUUCCACGUGUGGGAUUUUGUAUGUACCAUAUGAAUAAGGAUCGGCUAACUCCGUGCCAGCAGCCGCGGUAAUACGGAGGAUCCGAGCGUUAUCCGGGUUUAUUGGGUUUAAGGGGAGCGUAGGUGGAUUGUUAAGUCAGUUGUGAAAGUUUGCGGCUCAACCGUAAAAUUGCAGUUGAAACUGGCAGUCGUGAGUACAGUAGAGGUGGGCGGAAUUCGUGGUGUAGCGGUGAAAUGCUUAGAUAUCACGAAGAACUCCGAUUGCGAAGGCAGCUCACUGGACUGCAACUGACACUGAGGCUCGAAAGUGUGGGUAUCAAACAGGAUUAGAUACCCUAGUAGUC
rnacentral:rRNA from 1 species